AGACUCCUCACUGUGUCCAGCUGCAGACACACAGACAUACUCCUUAAACACUGGAUCUGUUCAAGUGUUUGCACAAGCCACCUGUUGUAAUGAAUCAAACAACUGCAACAAAAAUACCCCAUCACCGCCGACCGCCCCUGGACCUGGCUCCCUGCGAUGUCUGACCUGUGAUCCUCUGACAGGCCCAUGCAAUACUUCUAUACAAUGUAACACACUGGAGACCAACUGCUUCAUAACAACAGCAACAACAACUUCAUCAUCGAUCCCAGUCCACGGCUGUGCCUCACCAAACACAUGCUCCAACUCUGUUCUGAACA